AUGCUCAUGAUGAAAAUUAGGAUUAGCAACUCAAAUAAAAUACUUUGUCAUACUUGUAGUUCACUUGAUGUAGUGACAUUGUAUUUUGUAAGCAUCUUGUGUAAUUUUGCAAUGUUCCUCUUUGCAAUAAGCAAAGUUCUUAUCAAACAAAGUUUAGUCCUUUACUCAUUUCCAAAUUGCAAUCCAUUUAUAAUUCAUGUUUUCACUUUAAUGCAAACUUGGAUGGAUUAUACAAAGAAAAGUUCGAUGAUGCCUUUGGUCAGAAUCCUUAUGGCAUUUGGAACUUGUAACCAUGAA